rnacentral:rRNA from 1 species
GACGUAGGGCGCGAGCGUUGUCCGGAUUUAUUGGGCGUAAAGAGCUCGUAGGCGGCUUGUCGCGUCGUCCGUGAAAACUCGGGGCUCAACCCCGAGCUUGCGGUCGGAUACGGGCAGGCUAGAGUUCGGUAGGGGAGACUGGAAUUCCUGGUGUAGCGGUGAAAUGCGCAGAUAUCAGGAGGAACACCGGUGGCGAAGGCGGGUCUCUGGGCCGAUACUGACGCUGAGGAGCGAAAGCGUGGGGAGCAAACAGG